GUAGGUGGCAAGCGUUGUCCGGAAUUGUUGGGCGUAAAGCGCGCGCAGGGCGGUCCUUUAAGUCUGAUGUGAAAGCCCACGGCUCAACCGUGGAGGGUCAUUGGAAACUGGGGGACUUGAGUACAGAAGAGGAAAGCGGAAUUCCAAGUGUAGCGGUGAAAUGCGUAGAGAUUUGGAGGAACACCAGUGGCGAAGGCGGCUUUCUGGUCUGUAACUGACGCUGAGGCGCGAAAGCGUGGGGAGCAAACAGGAUUAGAUACCCUGGUAGUCCACGCCGUAAACGAUGAGUGCUAAGUGUUAGGGGGGUUUCCGCCCCUUAGUGCUGCAGCUAACGCAUUAAGCACUCCGCCUGGGGAGUACGGCCGCAAGGCUG
rnacentral:rRNA from 1 species